rnacentral:rRNA from 1 species
UACAGAGGGGGCAAGCGUUGUUCGGAAUUACUGGGCGUAAAGGGCGCGUAGGCGGCCUGUUAAGUCGAACGUGAAAUCCCCGGGCUCAACCCGGGAACUGCGUCCGAUACUGGCAGGCUUGAAUCCGGGAGAGGGAUGCGGAAUUCCAGGUGUAGCGGUGAAAUGCGUAGAUAUCUGGAGGAACACCGGUGGCGAAGGCGGCAUCCUGGACCGGCAUUGACGCUGAGACACGAAAGCGUGGGGAGCAAACAGG